GCUAGAGGAAGUGAGCAAUUGCUAAAUCAGCGAAGAGACUUGAUUGCUAAUUACCGGAAGUCUGUGGAAGAGCUUGUUAAAUCUGAGCCAUAAGUUCCAGUCAAUCAAAUGUGGCUCUCUAUCAUCAAUAUCUGGAUAUUACGGUUCUGAAGGGAAAAAUCAGAAGUUUUGAUAAAUAGGUUGUCGGAAAUGUGGAGGCAACUGGUAACUGGGAGCUAAAAUUUCUAUAUUUAGCUCCUCACAAGUAUAGUUUCUUUAUUGAUUAUUGAUGUUUCUUCUCUGUAACAGUCCCCAUUGUUAUUGGGUGAACCUUGUUAUUUAAUGUCGUUGAAGGUUCUGUAAAUGGUAGAACAUGCCUUUUAGAUUUCUGAUUUCUGAGUUCAGCUCUAAA